CCCAAUCUGAUGUUCACUGAAGAGCAGUGGGAUUUGAUGAAGGAUUUCGUUAAGAUAUUGGCUCCCUGUGAGCAAAUUUCGAGAGAACUUUCGUCUCAAAAAUACCCAUCAAUUUCCAGAGUUCUUCCACUACUGAAACUCGCGACUGGUUUUCUUAGCAAGAAUCAAGAGGAGGGAACUGAAAAUGGCCCAAAAUUCAAAGCUUCGGCAAUUUUAAAGCGUCGUUUGUUACGAAGUUUAAGAACCCGAUUCCAUAAUAUGGAAGAAGAAGAUCCCGAUAGGAGAGCUCCAAAAUUUUUUUCUGUUGCUACUUUCUUGGAUCCCAGAGCAUGUAUAACUCUGAUGCUUCACGGGUGGAGAGGAAAGCCAUCAUUCUUCUCUCUGGGGUGACUCAUGAGGAAGAGGUACGCCAAAGAGAACCCUCUAGCAGCCUUGAUUCAUUGUGGGGUGAACACGAUGUAAGAGUCAACGAACUAAAUGCCAACGCAAGGCAACCAACGACCAACGGGAGGGCUCAUGGUCUCAAUCUUGUUCGUGAGUACAAACAAAUGGCCUAUGUAGACCGAAAAGACGAUCCUUUGCAGUGGUGGCAUUCGAAAGCUGACCACAGCAUCUUCAAAAACUUUUCCCCAAUCAUUAAAAAAAUUUUUUGUAUUCCCGCUACUUCGGUUCCUUCAGAGGCAGCUUUUUCAGCGGCUGGAGAAUUAAUUUCUCCGAAGAGAUCGAAAUUGUCCCCUGA